CGUAGGGUGCGAGCGUUAAUCGGAAUUACUGGGCGUAAAGCGUGCGCAGGCGGUUCGACAAGUCUGAUGUGAAAUCCCCGGGCUCAACCUGGGAACUGCGUUGGAAACUGUCGGGCUAGAGUGUAGAAGAGGGGGGUAGAAUUCCACGUGUAGCAGUGAAAUGCGUAGAGAUGUGGAGGAAUACCGAUGGCGAAGGCAGCCCCCUGGGCUAACACUGACGCUCAUGCACGAAAGCGUGGGGAGCAAACAGGAUU
rnacentral:rRNA from 1 species